rnacentral:tRNA from 1 species
GUUGUAUCUCAGCGGUAGAGCAUUUGCCUAGCAUGUCUGAGGCACUGAGUUCAAUUCUCAGCAUUACA